rnacentral:rRNA from 1 species
GAUGAACGCUGGCGGCGUGCUUAACACAUGCAAGUCGAACGGUGAAGGCGGAGCUUGCUCUGCUGGAUCAGUGGCGAACGGGUGAGUAACACGUGAGCAAUCUGCCCCUGACUCUGGGAUAAGCGCUGGAAACGGCGUCUAAUACUGGAUACGAGCUGCGAAGGCAUCUUCAGCAGCUGGAAAGAAUUUCGGUCAGGGAUGAGCUCGCGGCCUAUCAGCUUGUUGGUGAGGUAAUGGCUCACCAAGGCGUCGACGGGUAGCCGGCCUGAGAGUGUGACCGGCCACACUGGGACUGAGACACGGCCCAGACUCCUACGGGAGGCAGCAGUGGGGAAUAUUGCACAAUGGGCGAAAGCCUGAUGCAGCAACGCCGCGUGAGGGACGACGGCCUUCGGGUUGUAAACCUCUUUUAGCAGGGAAGAAGCGAAAGUGACGGUACCUGCAGAAAAAGCGCCGGCUAACUACGUG